UGACCUCGGAUCAGGUAGGGAUACCCGCUGAACUUAAGCAUAUCAA
rnacentral:rRNA from 26 species